GGGUGCAUGGUCUAGUGGUAUGAUUUUCGCUUCGCAUUUGUCAUUAAUACCUCAAGUGAGGCAAAGGUGAUAUGCGCGCUUUGUGAAAGGUCCCCGGUUCGAUCCCGGGUGCAUCCA